rnacentral:rRNA from 1 species
AUUGAACGCUGGCGGCAUGCUUUACACAUGCAAGUCGAGCGGUAACAGGUCUUCGGAUGCUGACGAGUGGCGAACGGGUGAGUAAUACAUCGGAACGUGCCCGAUCGUGGGGGAUAACGAAGCGAAAGCUUUGCUAAUACCGCAUAAGAUCUACGGAUGAAAGCAGGGGACCGCAAGGCCUUGCGCGAACGGAGCGGCCGGUGGCAGAUUAGGUAGUUGGUGGGAUAAAAGCUUACCAAGCCGACGAUCUGUAGCUGGUCUGAGAGGACGACCAGCCACAUUGGGACUGAGACACGGCCCAGACUCCUACGGGAGGCAGCAGUGGGGAAUUUUGGACAAUGGGCGAAAGCCUGAUCCAGCCAUGCCGCGUGCAGGAUGAAGGCCUUCGGGUUGUAAACUGCUUUUGUACGGAACGAAAAGACUCUUUCUAAUAAAGAGGGUCCAUGACGGUACCGUAAGAAUAAGCACCGGCUAACUACGUGCCAGCCGCCGCAGUAAUAC